rnacentral:rRNA from 1 species
UAUUUUAAAGAGAGUUUGAUCCUGGCUCAGGACGAACGCUGGCGGCGUGCCUAAUACAUGCAAGUCGAACGAACGGAGGAAGAGCUUGCUCUUCCAAAGUUAGUGGCGGACGGGGGAGUAACACGGGGGCAACCUGCCUGUAAGUUGGGGAUAACUCCGGGAAACCGGGGCUAAUACCGAAUGAUAGAAUGUGGCGCAUGCCACGCUUUUGAAAGAUGGGUUCGGCUAUCGCUUACAGAUGGGCCCGCGGGGC